GGUUGCGAUCAUACCAGCACUAAUGCACCGGAUCCCAUCAGAACUUCGCAGUUAAGCGUGCUUGGGCGAGAGUAGUACUAGGAUGCGUGACCCCCUGGGAAGUCCUCGUGUUGCAACCCC
rnacentral:rRNA from 1 species